rnacentral:rRNA from 1 species
UACGUAGGUGGCAAGCGUUGUCCGGAAUUAUUGGGCGUAAAGCGCGCGCAGGCGGUCCCUUAAGUCUGAUGUGAAAGCCCACGGCUCAACCGUGGAGGGUCAUUGGAAACUGGGGGACUUGAGUGCAGAAGAGGAAAGCGGAAUUCCACGUGUAGCGGUGAAAUGCGUAGAGAUGUGGAGGAGCACCAGUGGCGAAGGCGGCUUUCUGGUCUGUAACUGUCGCUGAGGCGCGAAAGCGUGGGGAGCAAACAGG